rnacentral:lncRNA from 1 species
ACAUAAUAAUAGUACAUAUUUAUGGGAUACAGUGAUAUGUUGAUAGAUGCAUACAGGAUAUAAUGAUGAAAUCAGGUCCUUGGGAAAUUCUCCAAUCCUGUCUCCUGUCCUGGCCGGGUGUGCUCCUGGUGCACCAUUCGACUAAGUCAAUUUGAACUAUUUGGGAGACCUUUGUACCUACGUUUCCUUCUGCUUGGAAGAUCCUUUCUGUUUUGUCAGCUCUUACUUCCAUGUUGUGGAAAACUGAUCUGACCUCCUAGUCCUGAAUCAGGGGCCAUAAAGAAAAUUGAUGAGGACAACUGGCCUCCCAGUAUGUGGAUUCAGUUUCCAUAUGUCAAUUUACCAACUCCCACUGGUAGUCUGAAGAGAUAUGGCUACUGGAGAACAGAAAAUCACCAGUAUUAAUAAAAGCAAUUUUAAGUGUUUACCUUUUAGUAUUUGAAUAGCUUUGUUAAAGAGACGUACUCAAGAAUACUAUGAAGAGACUCUUAUUGUA